AUUAGCUAGUUGGUGAGGUAACGGCUCACCAAGGCGACGAUGCGUAGCCGACCUGAGAGGAUGAUCAGCCACACUGGGACUGAGACACGGCCCAGACUCCUACGGGAGGCAGCAGUGGGGAAUAUUGGACAAUGGGCGAAAGCCUGAUCCAGCAAUGCCGCGUGGAUGAAGAAGGUCUUCGGAUUGUAAAGUCCUUUUGGCGGGGACGAUGAUGACGGUACCCGCAGAAUAAGCUCCGGCUAACUUCGUGCCAGCAGCCGCGGUAAUACGAAGGGGGCUAGCGUUGCUCGGAAUGACUGGGCGUAAAGGGCGCGUAGGCGGACGGCACAGUCAGGCGUGAAAUUCCUGGGCUCAACCUGGGGACUGCGUCUGAGACGUGUUGUCUUGAGUAUGGAAGAGGGUUGUGGAAUUUCCAGUGUAGAGGUGAAAUUCGUAGAUAUUGGAAAGAACACCGGUGGCGAAGGCGGCAACCUGGUCCAUUACUGACGCUGAGGCGCGAAAGCGUGGGGAGCAAAC
rnacentral:rRNA from 1 species